UAAUACGGAGGGUGCAAGCAUUGAUCGGAAUUACUGGGCGUAAAGGGCGCGUAGGCGGUUUUGAAAGUCAGAUGUGAAAUUCCGGGGCUCAACCCCCGGGAGCUGCAUUUGAAACUUCAGAACUAGAGGUCAGUUAGGGAAAACGGAAUUCCACGUGUAGCGGUGAAAUGCGUAGAUAUGUGGAAGAACACCAGUGGUGAAGACGGUUUUCUGGGCUGAUACUGACGCUGAGGCGCGAAAGCAAGGGGAGCAAACAGGAUUAGAUACCCUGGUAGUCCUUGCCGUAAACGAUGCAUACUAGAUGUAGAGAGGCUCAACCCUUUCUGUAUCGGAGCUAACGCAUUAAGUAUGCCGCCUGGGGAGUACGCUCGCAAGGGUGAAACUCAAAAGAAUUGACGGGGGCCCGCACAAGCAGUGGAGCAUGUGGUUUAAUUCGAUGCAACGCGAAGAACCUUACCUGGGCUCGAAAUGUAGAGGACGACGUCAGAGAUGACGUUUCUCGAAAGGGUCUC
rnacentral:rRNA from 1 species